GAUCCAGUGGUGUAGUGGUUUGAAUACCGGACUGUUGCUCUGGAAAUCAGAGUUCGAUUCCCAGCUUGGCCA